AGCAGCCGCGGUAAUUCCAGCUCCAAUAGCGUAUAUUAAAGUUGUUGCAGUUAAAAAGCUCGUAGUUGAAUUUCGGGGUUAGUAGGUUGGUCAUGCCUCUGGUAUGUACUGGUCUCACUGAUUCCUCCUUCCUGAUGAACCGUAAUGCCAUUAAUUUGGUGUUGCGGGGAAUUUGGACUGUUACUUUGAAAAAUUAGAGUGUUUAAAGCAGGCGCACGCUUGAAUACAUUAGCAUGGAAUAAUGAAAUAGGACGUUUGAUUCUAUUUUGUUGGUUUCUAGGAUCGACGUAAUGAUUAAUAGGGAUAGUUGGGGGCAUUAGUAUUCAAUUGUCAGAGGUGAAAUUCUUGGAUUUAUUGAAGACUAACUACUGCGAAAGCAUUUGCCAAGGGUGUUUUCAUUAAUCAAGAACGAAAGUUAGGGGAUCGAAGACGAUCAGAUACCGUCGUAGUCUUAACCAUAAACUAUGCCGACUAGGGAUCGGACGAUGUUAAUUUUUAAUGACUCAUUCGGCGCCUUACG
rnacentral:rRNA from 1 species